AAGCGCACGGCUCAGUAACACGUAGUCAACCUGCCCUGUAGACGCGGACAACUUCGGGAAACUGCGGCUAAUACGCGAUAGGUGAUAGCAUCUGGAAGGAGGCAUCUCCCAAAGGUGUGGAGCGGGUAUGUUCCGCAUGCGCUCCAGGAUGGGACUGCGGCCGAUCAGGCUGUAGGCGGGGUAAUGGCCCACCAAACCUGUAACCGGUACGGGCUUUGAGAGAAGGAGCUCGGAGAUGGACACAGAAACACAGGUCCACGCCCAACGGGGCGCAUCAGGCGCGGAAACUUCGCAAUGCGCGAAAGCGUGACGAGGCUAAUCCGAGUGCUGUCCGCUGAGGAUAGCUUUUCCUGUCUGUACAUAGGCUGGGGAAUAAGGGGAGGGCAAGUCUGGUGUCAGCCGCCGCGGUAAUACCAGCUCCUCGAGUGGUCGGGGAUUUUAUUGGGCCUAAAGCACCCGUAGCCGGUCUAGUAAGUCUUUCGUUAAAUCCAAUCGCUUAACGGUUGAGCUGCAGAAGAUACUGCUAGACUAGGAGGCGGGAGAGACGGACGGUACUCAACGUGUAGGGGUAAAAUCCUUUGAUCCACGGAAGACCACCAGUGGCGAAGGCGGUCUACCAGAACGCGCUCGACGGUGAGGGAUGAAAGCUGGGGGAGCGAACCGGAUUAGAUACCCGGGUAGUCCCAGCUGUAAACGAUGCGAGCUAGAUGUUCAGUCUCUAGUUAUCGCAGUGCCCCAGGGAAGCCGUUAAGCUCGCCGCCUGGGAAUAACGUCCGGCAGGCUGAACUCA
rnacentral:rRNA from 1 species